rnacentral:rRNA from 1 species
GGGUCAGUAGGUUGGUCGUGCCACCGGUACGUACUGGUCUCACUGAUUCCUCCUUCCUGAAGAACCGUAAUGCCAUUAAUUUGGUGUUGCGGGGAAACAGGACUGUUACUUUGAAAAAAUUAGAGUGUUUAAAGCAAGCUAACGCUUGAAUACAUUAGCAUGGAAUAAUGAAAUAGGACGAUCGAUCCUAUAUUGUUGGUUUCUAUGAUUGACGUA